rnacentral:rRNA from 1 species
UGGGGAAUAUUGCACAAUGGGCGCAAGCCUGAUGCAGCCAUGCCGCGUGUAUGAAGAAGGCCUUCGGGUUGUAAAGUACUUUCAGCGGGGAGGAAGGCGAUAAGGUUAAUAACCUUGUCGAUUGACGUUACCCGCAGAUGAAGCACCGGCUAACUCCGUGCCAGCAGCCGCGGUAAUACGGAGGGUGCAAGCGUUAAUCGGAAUUACUGGGCGUAAAGCGCACGCAGGCGGUCUGUCAAGUCGGAUGUGAAAUCCCCGGGCUCAACCUGGGAACUGCAUUCGAAACUGGCAGGCUAGAGUCUUGUAGAGGGGGGUAGAAUUCCAGGUGUAGCGGUGAAAUGCGUAGAGAUCUGGAGGAAUACCGGUGGCGAAGGCGGCCCCCUGGAUAAAGACUGACGCUCAGGUGCGAAAGCGUGGGGAGCAAACA